AUUGAACGCUGGCGGCAGGCCUAACACAUGCAAGUCGAGCGGAUGAAGGGAGCUUGCUCCUGGAUUCAGCGGCGGACGGGUGAGUAAUGCCUAGGAAUCUGCCUGGUAGUGGGGGAUAACGUCCGGAAACGGGCGCUAAUACCGCAUACGUCCUGAGGGAGAAAGUGGGGGAUCUUCGGACCUCACGCUAUCAGAUGAGCCUAGGUCGGAUUAGCUAGUUGGUGGGGUAAAGGCCUACCAAGGCGACGAUCCGUAACUGGUCUGAGAGGAUGAUCAGUCACACUGGAACUGAGACACGGUCCAGACGCCUACGGGAGGCAGCAGUGGGGAAUAUUGGACAGUGGGCGAAAGCCUGAUCCAGCCAUGCCACGUGUGUGAAGAAGGUCUUCGGAUUGUAAAGCACUUUAAGUUGGGAGGAAGGGCAGUAAGUUAAUACCUUGCUGUUUUGACGUUACCAACAGAAUAAGCACCGGCUAACUUCGUG
rnacentral:rRNA from 1 species